GACGAACGCUGGCGGCGUGCUUAACACAUGCAAGUCGAACGGAAAGGCCCUGCUUUUGUGGGGUGCUCGAGUGGCGAACGGGGGAGUAACACGUGAGUAACCUGCCCUUGACUUUGGGAUAAAUUCAGGAAACUGGGGCUAAUACCGGAUAGGAGCUCCUGCUGCAUGGUGGGGGUUGGAAAGUUUCGGCGGUUGGGGAUGGACUCGCGGCUUAUCAGCUUGUUGGUGGGGUAGUGGCUUACCAAGGCUUUGACGGGUAGCCGGCCUGAGAGGGUGACCGGCCACAUUGGGACUGAGAGACGGCCCAGACUCCUACGGGAGGCAGCAGUGGGGAAUAUUGCACAAUGGGCGGAAGCCUGAUGCAGCAACGCCGCGUGCGGGAUGACGGCCUUCGGGUUGUAAACCGCUUUCGCCUGUGACGAAGCGUGAGUGACGGUAAUGGGUAAAGAAGCACCGGCUAACUACGUG
rnacentral:rRNA from 1 species